GAUCAGCCAUGCCGCGGUGAAUACGUUCCCGGGCCUUGUACACACCGCCCGUCACGCCAUGGGAGUGGGUUUCACCUGAAGUCGCUGGCAGCAGCCGGCAGGCGCCGAGGGUGGGGCUCAUGAC
rnacentral:rRNA from 1 species